GAACGCUGGCGGUGUGCCUCAUACAUGCAAGUCGAACGAUAAGGUUCCUCGGGAAUACAUAAGUGGCGGACGGGUGAGUACAACAUAGGAAAUCUGCCUUAAGCUGGGGGACAACAGAGGGAAACUCUUGCUAAUACCCCAUAUGAGCUUAGUUGAAAUACUAAUCUUGAAAGCUCCGGCGGCUUAAGAUGAGCCUGUGCCUGAUUAGCUAGUUGGUGGUGUAAUGGACUACCAAGGCGACGAUCAGUAGCUGGUUUGAGAGGAUGAUCAGCCACAAUGGGACUGAGACACGGCCCAUACUCCUACGGGAGGCAGCAGUAGGGAAUUUUGCGCAAUGGGGGAAACCCUGACGCAGCAACACCGCGUGAAUGUUAAGCCCUUCGGGGUGUAAAGUUCUGUCAGUAGGGAAGAACAAAUGACUGUACCUACAAAGGAAGCACCGGCUAACUCCGUGCCAGCCGCCGC
rnacentral:rRNA from 1 species